rnacentral:piRNA from 1 species
GACUAAAACUCUGGGGAAGAUUUUGC